GGCAAACUUCACAGUAAUUGGUUCCGUAGCACCGCUAGGCUUCUGGCCAUUUAGUCCCUUUAUGGCUUCUUCCGCCUCUAUUCUCUUAUCAAAACGGAUAAAUCCCACACCUCGAGAAACCCCUGUGACUUGAUCAACCAGAAUCCGUGAGGUGAUGAUGCGCCCAUAUUGUGAGAAUAACUGCUCUAAUUCUUUCUGGGUCAUUGUUUUCGGAAGGCCGCUGACAUACAGGUUCGCAUCUCUGAUUGAUGCUGAACUUGGACGGGCAUACGACACCUUUAUGGUUUUGGUCUGGAGUCUGAGUCCAUUUAAAGUGUUAAUGGCUUUCUCUGCAUCCUUUGGAUCAAUGUAGUUAACAAAUCCAUAUCCUAAACUCUGCCCUGUUGAAACAAGAAACAAGGAAAAAAAGGACUCAGUGUUUCGUUGGUUUUUUUUUUCCCUGGAAGCACACACAGCUUUCAAUAACACA
rnacentral:lncRNA from 1 species